GACGAACGCUGGCGGCGUGCCUAAUACAUGCAAGUAGAACGCAGUUGCGAACGGGUGAGGAAGGCGUAGUUAACCUGCCUCAAAGCGGGGGAUAAAGAGGGGUAACGAUAGGUAAUACGGCAUACUGUGAGAUGGACCGGCGUUGGAUUAGCUAGUGGGUGAGGUAAAGGCUCACCAAGGCGACGAGACAUAGCCGACCUGAGAGGGUGAUCGGCCACACUGGGACUGAGACACGGCCCAGACUCCUACGGGAGGCAGCAGUAGGGAAUCUUCGGCAAUGGACGGAAGUCUGACCGAGCAACGCCGCGUGAGUGAAGAAGGUUUUCGGAUCGUAAAACUCUGUUGUUAGAGAAGCGGUAUCUAACCAGAAAGCCACGGCUAACUACGUGCCAGCAGCCGCGGUAAUAC
rnacentral:rRNA from 1 species